UGGGGAAUUUUGGACAAUGGGCGAAAGCCUGAUCCAGCAAUGCCGCGUGUGUGAAGAAGGCCUUCGGGUUGUAAAGCACUUUUGUCCGGAAAGAAAUCCUUGGCUCUAAUACAGUCGGGGGAUGACGGUACCGGAAGAAUAAGCACCGGCUAACUACGUGCCAGCAGCCGCGGUAAUACGUAGGGUGCAAGCGUUAAUCGGAAUUACUGGGCGUAAAGCGUGCGCAGGCGGUUUGCUAAGACCGAUGUGAAAUCCCCGGGCUCAACCUGGGAACUGCAUUGGUGACUGGCAGGCUAGAGUAUGGCAGAGGGGGGUAGAAUUCCACGUGUAGCAGUGAAAUGCGUAGAGAUGUGGAGGAAUACCGAUGGCGAAGGCAGCCCCCUGGGCCAAUACUGACGCUCAUGCACGAAAGCGUGGGGAGCAAAGCAGGAUUAGAUACCCUGGUAGUCCACGCCCUAAACGAUGUCAACUAGUUGUUGGGGAUUCAUUUCCUUAGUAACGUAGCUAACGCGUGAAGUUGACCGCCUGGGGAGUACGGUCGCAAGAUUAAAACUCAAA
rnacentral:rRNA from 1 species